rnacentral:rRNA from 1 species
CAUCCAGCGAACUUGGCAGAGAUGCCUUGGUGCCUUCGGGAACGCUGAGACAGGUGCUGCAUGGCUGUCGUCAGCUCGUGUUGUGAAAUGUUGGGUUAAGUCCCGCAACGAGCGCAACCCUUAUCCUUUGUUGCCAGCGAUUCGGUCGGGAACUCAAAGGAGACUGCCGGUGAUAAACCGGAGGAAGGUGGGGAUGACGUCAAGUCAUCAUGGCCCUUACGAGUAGGGCUACACACGUGCUACAAUGGCGCAUACAAAGAGAAGCGACCUCGCGAGAGCAAGCGGACCUCAUAAAGUGCGUCGUAGUCCGGAUCGGAGUCUGCAACUCGACUCCGUGAAGUCGGAAUCGCUAGUAAUCGUGGAUCAGAAUGCCACGGUGAAUACGUUCCCGGGCCUUGUACACACCGCCCGUCACACCAUGGGAGUGGGUUGCAAAAGAAGUAGGUAGCUUAACCUUCGGGAGGGCGCUUACCACUUUGUGAUUCAUGACUGGGGUGAAGUCGUAACAAGGUAAGCGUAGCGAG